UACGGGGGGAGCAAGCGUUGUUCGGAAUCACUGGGCGUAAAGGGCGCGUAGGCGGCCAUUCAAGUCGGAGGUGAAAGCCCAGGGCUCAACCCUGGAACUGCCCUUGAUACUGGGGAUCUCGAGUCCGGAAGAGGUUGGUGGAACUCCGAGUGUAGAGGUGAAAUUCGUAGAUAUUCGGAAGAACACCAGUGGCGAAGGCGGCCAACUGGUCCGGCACUGACGCUGAGGUGCGAAAGCGUGGGGAGCAAACAGG
rnacentral:rRNA from 1 species